GUUAGCUCAGUUGGUUAGAACAUGGUGUUGAUAACGCCAAGGUUGCAGGUUCGAUCCCCGUCUGAGACA